CCAAUAGCGUAUAUUAAAGUUGUUGCAGUUAAAAAGCUCGUAGUUGAAUUUCGGGGUCAGUAGGUCGGUCGUGCCACAGGUAUGUACUGGUCUCACUGAUUCCUCCUUCCUGAUGAACCGUAAUGCCAUUAAUCUGGUGUUGCGGGGAGACUGGACUGUUACUUUGAAAAAAUUAGAGUGUUUAAAUCAGGCUAACGCUUGAAUAAUUUAGCAUGGAAUAAGGGAAUAGGACGUUCGAUCUUAUUUUGUUGGUUUCUAAGAUUGACGUAAUGAUUAAUAGGGAUAGUUGGGGGCAUUAGUAUUCAAUUGUCAGAGGUGAAAUUCUUGGAUUUAUUGAAGACUAACUACUGCGAAAGCAUUUGCCAAGGAUGUUUUCAUUAAUCAAGAACGAAAGUUAGGGGAUCGAAGACGAUCAGAUACCGUCGUAGUCUUAACCAUAAACUAUGCCGACUAGGGAUCGGAUGAUGUUAAUUUUUUAAUGACUCAUUCGGCGCCUUACG
rnacentral:rRNA from 1 species